AGAGUUUGAUUAUGGCUCAGGAUGAACGCUAGCUACAGGCUUAACACAUGCAAGUCGAGGGGUAGCAGGGUAGCAAUACCGCUGACGACCGGCGCACGGGUGAGUAACACGUAUCCAACCUUCCCAUAACUCAGGGAUAGCCUUUCGAAAGAAAGAUUAAUACCUGAUAGUACUUUUUCAAGGCAUCUUGAGAAAGUUAAAGAUUUAUUGGUUAUGGAUGGGGAUGCGUUCCAUUAGAUAGUUGGUGAGGUAACGGCUCACCAAGUCUUCGAUGGAUAGGGGUUCUGAGAGGAAGGUCCCCCACAUUGGUACUGAGACACGGACCAAACUCCUACGGGAGGCAGCAGUGAGGAAUAUUGGUCAAUGGGCGAGAGCCUGAACCAGCCAAGUAGCGUGAAGGAUGAAGGUCCUAUGGAUUGUAAACUUCUUUUAUAGUAGAAUAAAGUGAUCCACGUGUGGAUUUUUGUAUGUAUACUAUGAAUAAGGAUCGGCUAACUCCGUGCCAGCCGCUGC
rnacentral:rRNA from 1 species